rnacentral:lncRNA from 1 species
GUUCUCAGCAUUCAUUCGGUUUAAUUCAUCCACUAAAGCAGUUGUCUGCAAAUAAUAUGUAUGUAUAUUGCAUGAAUUUAGUAACUAGGUGUAUUAACAUAUCCUUUUUUUUUGUUAAAGUCACUUCUCUAGUUCCUGAUCUUGUUCUUUGGUGCUUAGGAAUGUUUUUUUUUUUAAUAAAUGACAUUUUUUGAAAAAAAUUGUUUAAGACUAACAUAUCAUAAACUUAUACGACCUAAAAUUUGCUGUUACAAUCAUAUCAUGAAGUUACCAGUUUUUGUCAAAAUACUAGCAAGUUUUUUUUUCAAGUUUCUAAACUUAAAGUAUAUCUAAAAAUCUUUGUGUGUAUACAUAUAUAUUUUAUUUGUGCCUAUGUAAAGAUAUUUACGUAUGCAAAACUAUAGAUUGUUGCGAUCGUAUACAUGAAAAUAUAUACAUGAAAAACGAAAAAUAAAAAAAUAUAUAUAUACAUAUACAUGUGUUCAUAAAAAUGAAGUUCUAACAGUUCGAAAUCGGAUUCUGUCUACAAAGUACUUUGAAAAACCAAGGCUAACGGGACUACUUCAACACUGGUUUGCAGCCCAUGAUGGGCAUAUUUAGAUUGAUUCCCACUAUUUUUUAUUUAUGCAUUGUACAUAAACAUUUUACCUUUAGAUGAUCAAUAAAUUUAAUAUUUCGUAAAUAAAAAAAUACUAACAGUUUUCAUGAAUAUGUGUUUUAAGUGAACUGAAGAUGUAAAGAAACAACAAUACAAGAGAAGCAUACCGUGGAAUCUUCUUCAACUCGCAUUCGCGUAACUCCAAUAGUGAGAUCUAAAGAAGUAUCGACCAAAGAUGAUGGGUACUGGUCCAUGGAUGUUAAGAUUGUACGAUGAAUCUUCUUGACUCUUGAGUAUGUAUAUGUAAGCUUAGAAAGAACGUUGAGAGAUUCGUAGUAAGAGUUCGAUCUUAUUGACUUCUUUUUUUUUCCUUUUC